CGCACGGGUGCGUAACGCGUGGAAUCUGCCUUAGGUUCGAAUAACUUCGGGAAACUGAAGCUAAUACCGGAUGAUGACGUAAGUCCAAAGAUUUAUCGCCUAAGGAUGAGCCCGCGUAGGAUUAGCUAGUUGGUGAGGUAAAAGGCUCACCAAGGCGACGAUCCUUAGCUGGUCUGAGAGGAUGAUCAGCCACACUGGGACUGAGACACGGCCCAGACUCCUACGGGAGGCAGCAGUGGGGAAUAUUGGACAAUGGGCGAAAGCCUGAUCCAGCAAUGCCGCGUGAGUGAUGAAGGCCUUAGGGUUGUAAAGCUCUUUUACCCGGGAUGAUAAUGACAGUACCGGGAGAAUAAGCUCCGGCUAACUCCGUG
rnacentral:rRNA from 1 species